rnacentral:rRNA from 1 species
AACGAACGCUGGCGGCAUGCCUAACACAUGCAAGUCGAACGAGAUCUUCGGGUCUAGUGGCGCACGGGUGCGUAACGCGUGGGAAUCUGCCCUUUGGUUCGGAAUAACAGUUGGAAACGACUGCUAACACCGGAUGAUGACGAAAGUCCAAAGAUUUAUCGCCAGAGGAUGAGCCCGCGUAGGAUUAGCUAGUUGGUGUAGUAAAGGCGCACCAAGGCGACGAUCCUUAGCUGGUCUGAGAGGAUGAGCAGCCACACGGGGACUGAGACACGGCCCAGACUCCUACGGGAGGCAGCAGUGGAGAAUAUUGGACAAUGGGCGAAAGCCUGAUCCAGCAAUGCCGCGUGAGUGAUGAAGGCAUUAGGGUUGUAAAGCUCUUUUACCCGGGAUGAUAAUGACAGUACCGGGAGAAUAAGCUCCGGCUAACUCCGUGCCAGCAGCCGCCGCAG